rnacentral:snRNA from 1 species
GGACAAUGUAGGGACAAUUUGGCCAUGACAUGUGUCACCCUAUUGAUUGCCAGGCUUGAUUGGGGAAAUCUGGCUGGCUAAGGGGGUAUCCCAUUCCUCCCCAAGUACUCCAUGUACUUCCCUCCUGUAGCACAUGCUCAGUUGAAGAGAAUGACUUUCACACAUAGAGGAGGACCAUUCUUCAACCAAGAGUGCAUGAUUAGCUACACUAUCCUGCAAGAACCUCUGAACAAGUUUUCAAGGGUUAGCUCAGUAAGACUUUACCAUGUGGAAUGCCUUCCAACUGCCACACUCCCUCAAGGCUUAAGGCAAGUGUCAACACUU